CCUACGGGGGACAGCAGUAGGGAAUCUUCCACAAUGGGCGAAAGCCUGAUGGAGCAACGCCGCGUGGGUGAAGAAGGUCUUCGGAUCGUAAAACUCUGUUGUUAGAGAAGAAAGUGCGUGAGAGUAACUGUUCACGUUUCGACGGUAUCUAACCAGAAAGCCACGGCUAACUACGUGCCAGCAGCCGCGGUAAUACGUAGGUGGCAAGCGUUAUCCGGAUUUAUUGGGCGUAAAGGGAACGCAGGCGGUCUGUUAAGUCUGAUGUGAAAGCUUUCGGCUUAACCGGAGUAGUGCAUUGGAAACUGGGAGACUUGAGUGCAGAAGAGGAGAGUGGAACUCCAUGUGUAGCGGUGAAAUGCGUAGAUAUAUGGAAGAACACCAGUGGCGAAAGCGGCUCUCUGGUCUGUAACUGACGCUGAGGUUCGAAAGCGUGGGUAGCAAACAGGAUUAGAUACCCUUGUAGUC
rnacentral:rRNA from 1 species